rnacentral:rRNA from 1 species
AACGUAGGACGCAAGCGUUAUCCGGAUUUAUUGGGCGUAAAGCGCUCGCAGGUGGUCCGCUGCGUCGUGCGUGAAAGACCCCGGCUCAACUGGGGAGUGUCGUGCGAUACGGGCGGACUGGAGGCCAGUAGGGGGAUGCGGAAUUCCGGGUGUAGUGGUGGAAUGCGUAGAGAUCCGGAGGAACACCAGCGGCGAAGGCGGCAUCCUGGACUGGUCCUGACACUCAGGAGCGAAAGCGUGGGGAGCGAUCCGG